rnacentral:rRNA from 1 species
UGUAUGGUUAAGUGACUAAGCGUACACGGUGGAUGCCUGGGCAGUCAGAGGCGAUGAAGGACGUACUAACUUGCGAUAAGCGCAGAUAAGGCAGUAAGAGCCGUUUGAGUCUGCGAUUUCCGAAUGGGGAAACCCAACUGCAUAAGCAGUUACUGUUAACUGAAUACAUAGGUUAACAGAGCAAACCGGGGGAACUGAAACAUCUAAGUACCCCGAGGAGAAGAAAUCAACCGAGAUUCCGGUAGUAGCGGCGAGCGAACCUGGAUUAGCCCUUAAGCACUCGGUGAAGUAGGUGAACAAGCUGGAAAGCUUGGCGAUACAGGGUGAUAGCCCCGUAACCGACGCUUCAUCGAGCGUGAAAUCGAGUAGGGCGGGACACGUGAUAUCCUGUCUGAAUAUGGGGGGACCAUCCUCCAAGGCUAAAUACUCCUGACUGACCGAUAGUGAACCAGUACCGUGAGGGAAAGGCGAAAAGAACCCCUGUGAGGGGAGUGAAAUAGAACCUGAAACCGUGUACGUACAAGCAGUAGGAGCACCUUCGUGGUGUGACUGCGUACCUUUUGUAUAAUGGGUCAGCGACUUAUAUUCAGUGGCAAGGUUAACCGUAUAGGGGAGCCGUAGCG